rnacentral:rRNA from 1 species
CUUAAUACAUGCAAGGUCUGGGGUCAGCAUGAGUAGCAAUACUUGAUGGGCGACCGGCAAACGGGUGAGGAACACGUACACAACCUUCCUUCAAGCGGGGAAUAGCCCAGAGAAAUUUGGAUUAAUACCCAUAAUAUAUUUGAUAAGGCAUCUUAUUAAUAUUAAAGCUUCGGCACUUGAUGAUGGGUGUGCGGCUGAUUAGAUAGUUGGCGGGUAACGGCCCACCAAGUCUACGAUCAGUAGCUGAUGUGAGAGCAUGAUCAGCCACACGGGCACUGAGACACGGGCCCGACUCCUACGGGAGGCAGCAGUAAGGAUAUUGGACAAUGGACGAAAGUCUGAUCCAGCCAUGCCGCGUGAAGGAUUAAGGUCCUCUGGAUUGUAAACUUCUUUUAUAUGGGACGAAAAAAGGGCAUUCUUGUUCACUUGACGGUACCAUAUGAAUAAGCACCGGCUAACUCCGUG